UAUUCAUGUAUAUCUCAGCUGGUUAGAGCAUGGUGCUGUUGAUCCUGAGGUUGCAGGUUCAAAUCCUGUAUGGAUAG